rnacentral:lncRNA from 1 species
CGGGAGCAGAGGCAAGGGAGCGCGGAAUGGGGGAAAGAAAGGCGGCUUGGGCUCUAGCACUCCUCAUAUGCGGCCAAGGCGCGGGACGUGGGGGAAAUCGUAGGAGCGGGACGCGGCUCAGGUGGUUGCUGCGUGCGUGAGAGAAGGACGGAGCGGUUGCAGGAGGUGGGAGAUGACAAGUGGGCCUCGCUUGUCAGUCGCUAGAGAGAGGGAAGGGGAGAGGGGAUGCUCACGGCUGACUGGGCCUACAGGCUGAAAAGGGAGGGGGAAGUGAGAGAGAUGGAUUUCCCUUUUUUUUAUUUUUUCCAACUUGUUUUCAAAAGCAUUUACAAAUUGAAUUUUGAACAAAUUUCUUUUGCAUAAUUUCAAACGUCACAAAGAUAAGUGCUACAGCAUGAAUGCAUCGACGUGUUUCUAAACCCAUAUUAAUUUUUUACCCAAAAAUUUAUUUAUUUUUCCUAUAUUAUAAUACUCACAAAAAAAUAUUUAAUUAAAUCAUAUUCAUAUAUUUUAAAGAACAAAAUUUUGGGUGUUACAAUAAGCAUUAGGAACAAACUGAAUCAGAGUUAGGAUGAUUAAACCGUGG